GGCUCAGAAGCAGCCACCAUUUAAAGAGUGCGUAAUAGCUCACUGGUCGAGAGACCCUGCGCCGAAGAUUCCCGGGGCUAAAGUACGAAACCGAAGCUGUGGCUGUAUACGUAAAGUAUACGGGGUAGGGGAGCGUUCCCAUAGGGUAGAAGUCGAACUGGAAGGUUCGGUGGACUUGUGGGAAGUGAGAAUGUUGGUAUGAGUAGCGAAAAGAAAGGUGAGAAUCCUUUCCACCGAAAGCAUAAGGAUUCCUGAGCAACGAUCGUCGUCUCAGGGUAAGUCGGGACCUAAUCCGAGGCAGAGAGCGUAGGAGAUGGACAACUGGUUGAUAUUCCAGUACCGGUAGUAAUUGUUUGAGCAAUGGAGUGACACAGAAGGGCAGGCAAGCAUGCGAAUGGAAGAGCAUGUGUAAGCGUGUAGGGUGGUGCAUAGGCAAAUCCGUGCACUGAAAGCCUGAGGCGUGAUGCGGAGUGAGCAGAGAUGCGAGCGAAGUUGUUGACCCCACACUGUCGAGAAAAGCUUCUAGUGAGAGAGCUACCGCCCGUACCGUAAACCGACACAGGUAUGCGGGGAGAGAAUCCUAAGGUGCGCGGGAGAACCCUCGUUAAGGAACUCGGCAAAAUGUACCCGUAACUUCGGGAUAAGGGUAGCCACUGUUGUGAAGUCCCAUGCGGAUGGAGCAUAGAGUGGUCGCAGAGAAGAGGCCCAAGCGACUGUUUACCAUAAACACAGGUGCCUGCUAAAGCGAAAGCUGACGUAUAGGUGCUGACACCUGCCCAGUGCCGGAAGGUUAAGGAAGGAUGUUCGGAUUAGUCCAAAGCAUUCGACUGAAGCCCCGGUGAACGGCGGCCGUAACUAUAACGGUCCUAAGGUAGCGAAAUUCCUUGUCGGGUAAGUUCCGACCCGCACGAAAGGUGUAACGACUUGGGCACUGUCUCAACGAGGGACCCGGUGAAAUUGAAGUACCUGUGAAGAUGCAGGUUACCCGCGACUGGACAGAAAGACCCCAUGGAGCUUUACUGUAACCUGACAUUGGGUUUUGAUACAUUACGUACAGGAUAGGUGGGAGGCUUGGAAAGCUGGACGCUAGUCUGGCUGGAGCCGACGUUGGGAUACCACCCUUGAUGUAUUGAAAUUCUAACCGCGAGAGUAACGAAAUCCGGGACAGUGUCAGGCGGGCAGUUUGACUGGGGCGGUCGCCUCCGAAAGAGUAACGGAGGCGCCCAAAGGUUCCCUCAGGCCGGACAGAAACCGGCCGAAGAGUGCAAAGGCAGAAGGGAGCUUGACUGCGAGACAGACAAGUCGAGCAGAGACGAAAGUCGGGCUUAGUGAUCCGGUGGUACUGCGUGGAAAGGCCAUCGCUCAACGGAUAAAAGCUACCCUGGGGAUAACAGGCUAAUCUCUCCCAAGAGUUCAUAUCGACGGGGAGGUUUGGCACCUCGAUGUCGGCUCAUCACAUCCUGGAGCUGGAGUAGGUUCCAAGGGUUGGGCUGUUCGCCCAUUAAAGUGGUACGCGAGCUGGGUUCAAAACGUCGUGAGACAGUUUGGUUCAUAUCCAUCGCGGGCGCAAGAAGUUUGAGGGAGGCUGCUCCUAGUACGAGAGGACCGGAGUGGACGGAUCAACGGUGUACCAGUUGUCACGCCAGUGGCACGGCUGGAAAGCCGCAUCCGGAAAGGAUAAACGCUGAAAGCAUCUAAGCGUGAAGCCCGUCCCAAGAUGAGACUUCUCAUCAGCAAUGAGUAAGACCCCUUAAAGACGAUGAGGUUGAUAGGCUGUGAGUGGAAGAGCCGCGAGGCUUGGAGCGACGCAGUACUAAUAGGUCGAGGUCUUAACUUA
rnacentral:rRNA from 1 species